rnacentral:sRNA from 1 species
UUUUUUUCUUGAAUGCACAGGAGAGCUGCGCAUCAUUAUAUUAAGACAAACAAGAAGAGUCUAAGAAGACUCAAAUACAUAAGGACUUGCA